AUUGAACGCUGGCGGCCGGCCUAACACAUGCAAGUCGAGCGAGCGGCGGACGGGUGAGUAAUGUAUGGGGACUGCCCGCUAGAGGGGGAUCACUACUGGAAACGGUGGCUAAUACAGCAUACUCUCGGAUAACCCAUAUGGGAUUAGCUAGUAGGGGGGGUAAAGGCCCACCUAGGCGACGCUCGCUAGCUGGUCUGAGAGGAUGCUCAGCCACAAUGGGCAUGAGACAAGGGCCAGACUCCUACGGAGGCAGGAGUGGGGAAUAUUGCACAAUGGGCGCAAGCCUGAUGCAGCCAUGCCGCGGGUAUGAAGAAGGCCUUAGGGUUGGAAAGUACUUUCAGCGGGGAGGCGUUACCCGCAGAAGAAGCACCGGCUAACUACGUGCCAGCAGCCGCGGUAAUAC
rnacentral:rRNA from 1 species